AGCCCAAAAGGACAUAUAGGCCCU
rnacentral:siRNA from 1 species